AGUGAACGCUGGCGGUAGGCCUAACACAUGCAAGUCGAACGGCAGCACAGUAAGAGCUUGCUCUUACGGGUGGCGAGUGGCGGACGGGUGAGGAAUACAUCGGAAUCUACUUUUUCGUGGGGGAUAACGUAGGGAAACUUACGCUAAUACCGCAUACGACCUACGGGUGAAAGCAGGGGAUCUUCGGACCUUGCGGGAUGGAAUGAGCCGAUGUCGGAUUAGCUAGUUGGCGGGGUAAAGGCCCACCAAGGCGACGAUCCGUAGCUGGUAUGAGAGGAUGAACAGCCACCCUGGAACUGAGACACGGUCCAGACUCCUACGGGAGGCAGCAGUGGGGAAUAUUGGACAAUGGGCGCAAGCCUGAUCCAGCAAUACCGCGUGGGUGAAGAAGGCCUUCGGGUUGUAAAGCCCUUUUGUUGGGAAAGAAAGGCAGCAGGUUAAUACCCCGCUGUUCUGACGGUACCCAAAGAAUAAGCACCGGCUAACUUCGUG
rnacentral:rRNA from 1 species